GCAUGCAGUGCAUUGGAAGUGCUUUAAGAUUCAACAUGAAAAGAAGAGCUAUACUGUGUCAUACUGAUGUCCCAUAACUCUGGCAUCUAACUAGUCAUCUGGGAGUUCUCCAUUCCCCCUAACAGUGAGAGACUGACAUAAUACCUGGGAUCUUAUAUGGCUGAAGGACUGUGUUACCCCACCAGAGAGGAAGGAGCUUUUUGAGCCAUGACCUGACAUUUCCAUUUCCCAGCCACACUUUUAGAAUGCAGCUCUGCCCUGUCUGUCCUUUCCUCUCCUCGUCCCUCCACAACCUCAGAAAAGGGAGACGAAAAACAAACAAAGUUGAGGAUGGGCAGAAAUAUGGAGUGGCUUCCAGACAAUGAGGGAUUCAACAAGUCAGAAUUCAUCUGAGGCAAGAUGACUGUGAGAAGGUGUGAUGGAAACCAAUAAACUAAUGAAUGCUGU
ensembl:lncRNA